UGACAACUCUCAGCAACGGAUAUCUCGGCUCUUGCAUCGAUGAAGAACGCAGCGAAAUGCGAUAAAUGGUGUGAAUUGCAGAAUCCCGUGAACCAUMGAGUCUUUGAACGCAAGUUGCGCCCGAGGCCAUCAGGCCAAGGGCACGCCUGCCUGGGCAUUGCGA
rnacentral:rRNA from 1 species